rnacentral:lncRNA from 1 species
GGUUUGGUCUCCUUGUCCUUUCAAACCCUCAGGAAAAUGUCAUGGCUGAGGCAGAAGUUGACCCCCUGUGCUUGGAAAGCUACCUGUCCAUCCUCCAAGCUCUAUCUGCUCUUCUUCCUUUGAAAGAAGCUGCUUCCUGCUGUCCCAUGAUGCUCAAUAACCUCCUCCCACCCCAUACUCAUAGACCUAGGGAGAACUUCUUCCUGUAUUUCCUCUGUCAGCCCUCCUCCAGCUCUCUGCAAAAUUAACAGCUCUCCUAACCUCUCCUUUUUCUUCCCCUCUAAUAGCCACAAGGUUCCAAGGCUGGAAACAUGAAGACCCAUUUCCCCUACACAUCCCACGGUGAGGGAAGCAACAUGGUCAUACAUCGCCCCUUUUUUUCCCCAAAUUUCCAUUUCAUUGCUAUCACCUGGUGCUGCUGCAGCAAUAGAUUGGGCAAGCAGCAAUGGUAUGGAAGCCUCCUUCAAGUGCUCUGGGUUUUUCCACAUCUCCCCCACUUUGCUUUGGCAGGGAAUGGAGUUUUCAGCUGGGAAGAGAGUGCUCCAUGCCAAACACCCCCAGUUUUCCAGUGGAAGAGCAGAAAUAUGCACGCUAACAUGCUAUGAAUGGGUAGUACUCUUCGGGGGGGGGGGGGAGCAUAUUAAAAAGCCCAUGGUUUCCAGAGAGAAAAUACCCUGUUUUCCCACCCAAACUUAUUUCUUUCUCAUAAGCCUAAGGCAACACCUCUGCUCGUUUGCAGCAGUUUCUGGCUGGCGCCGGGCUCUUGGGGCAGUUAUCAGAGGAAAUGUAGAAAUUGAAGGGAUUUGAAGUGGGAUUGGAAGCUGGAUUUGGAGCUGACCGAGCUGGUGACAGCAGCUUCCUGGGGUGCCUGGGGACCAGCUCACGGUCCCUGUGCCCUACAGCCAUCACUGAAGGCGCCCAACGCUGCAGUUUCCCAUUCUGUGAGAUGCAAAGGGGAAUUUGCUCUGGAGCUGAGCACGGAAGGGAAAAUACAGAAGAAAAAAGGAGAUACAAAAGCUGGUGUCAAAGCCCGUCUCAUCUCCUGCAUCCAUCUGGCAGGCCCUUCAGAUGUGCCCUCGUGUUUGUACACCCCAUGCCUGGCAUUUUAUAUAUGCCCAUAUUCACCCUGUUCUUGCUGCUUUCCUGGCCUUUCCCCUCUCUUCCACUCUCUGAUUUAUGUAAUUUGAAGUCCUGGUUGGGAGCUGAUAUUAUGACACGUCCAGACUUCAAAAUAAACCUCCCUCUUGAUACUGGGUUAUUUUAUUG